CUCACCAGGAACCUUCCAGUGUCCUGCCAACGCAGGCGCUGCUCAGCCUCCAGUCUCGAUAUCGACCCCGCGAACCACCUACGACGAAACACACGGGCCACGUGAAGCCUCUCGAGCUACGGCAUUUAAACUGAUCUCGUCCGCUUCCGACGCCGCGAAAGAGAAAAGAGCCACAGCCUCCAUGCUGGGUGGACGGAGAGAGGGAGCGAGACACCCGGCGACGGCUUCACUCCAUGAAUGACGAGACGACGGGGCUGAGUGAGUGGAGCACGGCGGGCUGAUGAUGCUCUCUGGCAGCAUGAGAUAAUCGCCACGUGCUUGUGCGCAGUCGCUGACAUCCCGCUCAUUAGUUAAUGAGGAGAGUUUUCUCUGGGCGCGUGUCCCUCUGUUCGUCCAUGUGACAGAGUUGGAGGGCGGACACGUGAAGACGCCGGACGGCCUCUUUGUCUCCGUCGUCCACUCACUUUUAACCCCGGGGGGUUUAAUGGAGACCUUCCUCCUGGGAAAUCAACGACGGUGGAGUCGGACACGGUGAAGGAAAGAACCUAAUAUAGAGUCUCAUGACACUUUCUCAGCAGAACAAAGGCUCCAGUUGCUCACCCCUUCUCCAAAUACAUAUAUAAAAUAUAUGGAAAUGUAUUAGAGGUGGGACUCAGUUAAAAAAAAAAAUCUAAUUAAUUAGAGGCUUUGUAAUUAUAUUAUUCAUCUCGAUUAAUCGCAUUUAACCACUUAACAAUAUUUGCCCCAAAAAGCAACAUUUUUUUACCUAAAUGGAUUUUAAUGGACAAUUGAAUAUUCCAUACUCUUUAAUGUCUGGAAAAAUACAUUUAAUUGCAUUUCAAUUCAAAACAUUAGAAAAAAAUUGGCCUUGGCCAAAACUGAGCAAGCCUAAAAUGCCACUUUAAGUACUUUUCUAGGACAGUAUUGACUUUAUAAUGGUUAAACGAAACGACAACAUUUAAACAGUGGUGUCUAGUUCUGGUAAAACAACCAUUUGACACUUAAAUCUCCUUUAACUCCUUAGCCCCAGGCGGCCUCUGCUUUCCAUUUAGAAGGUGGUGUAGGGUUGAAGUGCAAACUCUUUUUUUUUUUUUUGCACAAUUUGCACAAAACCACAGUUCAUCAAGGCUUCCAUCAAGUUUUUUUUUUUUUUUUUUUUAAUGAAUUUGGCUUUCCAUCAGUUCUAGCAACGCACUUUGAUUUGACUCUUUCAUCUUGGUAGGUGUUAGCUGAGCUCAGACAUGUGCGUCAGUGUAGUUGUUGUACUGAGAAAUCGUGCACUGACAAAAGUUCCACGUUGAUAGUAAUGCAAACUGAGAUUAAAUGCAUUAAUUUGUUUGUAUAUACAUAUAUAAACAGUAAGAGCUUCAUGAUUGUCACAAUAAAAUCUAUGUUUCAUGGUGUGACUGUAAACUCUCCUCAACCCCGGCAACAAAGACCAACAAGGAACUCGAGAGACAAUCUGCAGCGUGAGUAAUUCCCCAAACGUGACUUCACAAUAAAAACAACAGCACAGAUUCACAUGGAGCAGCAGGACAGUCUGCCACCGACUCACUCAACGCAAUAAAAUCACUCACUCACACACACACACACACACACACACACACACACACACACACACACACACACACACACACACACACACACACACACACACACACACACACACACACACACACACACACACACACACACACACACACACACUUCACUGGGACUACAUUAUUUAUUUGUUCAGAGAAAGUUUAAAAAUUUAGCAAAACUGAGUGUGAACCAUGUUUGACAUGACACUGAGUGAACAGAUCAGGUAACGGCGCUGGUUUGAAAACGAACGCACUUCAGGUUAGACGGGUCAUAGCAAAUACACCCCCAUUCAUAUCAACACAGAUGUCCACUCACUGCUUUUUCUUUCUUUUUCUUUUUUAAUCCACGGCCUGUAAAGACAAGGUGUGACCAAAUAAGACGGGAGUGUAGCCGGUGAGCUGCAUCGACCGGACCGUCUGGUGGUGAAUCGUGAAUGAAGGUCGACUCUGGUCGGGGUCAUGCAAAUAUGACUGUAUUGUAGAGUAUUAAAAUAUUUCUUUAAAAGCAAAACUGCAUCAUGAAAAAGAU